rnacentral:rRNA from 1 species
GACGAACGCUGGCGGCGUGCUUAACACAUGCAAGUCGAACGGAAAGGCCCUGCUUUUGUGGGGUGCUCGAGGUGCGAACGGGGGAGUAACACGUGAGUAACCUGCCCUUGCCUUUGGGAUAAGUUCAGGAAACUUGGGCUAAUACCGGCUAGGAGCUCCUGCUGCAUGGUGGGGGUGGGAUAGUUUCGGUGGUUGGGGAUGGACUGGCGGCUUAUCAGCUUGUUGGUGUGGUAGUGGCUUACCAAGGCUUGGCCGGGUAGCCGGCCUGGUCGGGUGACCGGCCACGCUGGGCCUGGGAUGCGGCCCAGCCUCCUACGGGAGGCAGCGGUGGGGAAUAUUGCACUAUGGGCGGAACCCUGGUGCAGCAACGCCGCGUCCGGGAUGUGGGCCUUCGGGUUGUAAACCGCUUUCGCCUGUGACGAAGCGUGAGUGACGGUAAUGGGUAAAGAAGCACCGGCUAACUACGUG